rnacentral:rRNA from 1 species
AUUGAACGCUGGCGGCAUGCCUUACACAUGCAAGUCGAACGGCAGCACGGGAGCAAUCCUGGUGGCGAGUGGCGAACGGGUGAGUAAUGUAUCGGAACGUACCUUUCAGUGGGGGAUAACGUAGCGAAAGUUACGCUAAUACCGCAUAUUCUGUGAGCAGGAAAGCAGGAGAUCGCAAGACCUUGCGCUGAUUGAGCGGCCGAUAUCAGAUUAGCUAGUUGGUGAGGUAAAGGCUCACCAAGGCGACGAUCUGUAGCGGGUCUGAGAGGAUGAUCCGCCACACUGGAACUGAGACACGGUCCAGACUCCUACGGGAGGCAGCAGUGGGGAAUUUUGGACAAUGGGCGCAAGCCUGAUCCAGCCAUGCCGCGUGAGUGAAGAAGGCCUCGGUUG